rnacentral:sRNA from 1 species
GAAUAGUGGCUGCCUUAGCUUCCCCCUUGCCAUGGCUAAGGGCAAAUGGGUGGAGUUGCUCUUAGCCAUGGCAAGGGGGGAGCUAGGGCAGCCACUAUUCACGU